rnacentral:rRNA from 1 species
UGCCAGCCGCCGCGGUAAGACGGAGGGUGCAAACGUUGUUCGGAAUCACUGGGCAUAAAGCGCACGUAGGCGGUCCACUCAGUCGAGUGUGAAAGCCCCCGGCUCAACCGGGGAACUGCAUUCGAUACUGGUGGACUUGAGGACGGUUGGGGUGAGUGGAACUCCUGGUGGAGCGGUGAAAUGCGUAGAUAUCAGGAGGAACACCAGUGGCGAAAGCGGCUCACUGGACCGUAUCUGACGCUGAGGUGCGAAAGCUAGGGUAGCGAACGGGAUUAGAUA